rnacentral:rRNA from 1 species
AAAGAAAAUAACAAUGAUUCCCCUAGUAACUGCGAGUGAAGAGGGACAAGCUCAAAUUUUAAAUCUAUCGGGUUUUACCCGAUCGAGUUGUAAUUUGAAGAAGCGUUUUCUGCGUUUUUGGUCAGCCCAAGUCCUAUUGAAUGAGGCAUCAUGGAGGGUGAUAAUCCCGUCCGGUUGAUCAUUUGCGUUUUACGAUACGCUUUCUAAGAGUCAAGUUGUUUGGGAUUGCAGCUUAAAAUGGGAGGUAAAUUUCUCCUAAGGCUAAAUAACGGCGAGAGACCGAUAGCGAACAAGUACCGUGAGGGAAAGAUGAAAAGAACUUUGAAAAGAGAGUUAAACAGUACGUGAAAUUGUUGAAAGGGAAACGAUUGAAGCCAGUCGUACCUUCGGGUAAUCAGCCUUUCGGGUGCGAUUCUGUGGAGUGUGAGGAGCUUAACACCUUCAUGCUUUGCAUAUUUGUGCUCUUGGGUGUACUUGCCCGUGUGGUUGGUUAACAUCAAUUUUGAUUAUCAUAAAAUGACUGGAGGAAUGUAGCUUCGAUCUCGUAUUGAAGUGUUAUAGCCUUCGGUAGAUGUGAUGAUCGAGAUUGAGGAUUGCAACGGAUACCCUUCGGGGCCACCUGUCUGGUCUCUGAUCGUUGCUCUGGUGCCGAAAGCGUGCUUACGGUUAUCAAAGUCGAUGGUCAAUAGGUUAGAACGGGUUAAAUU